CAGAUGGACGUUAGGUAAAUAUUCUUUACCAGAGGUUCAGCUGAAUAAACUAAGGCUAGGAAUGAUGAAGAAGAAGAAAGGUAGAAGUAAUCCAUGUUCCUUAGUGGCCACUGAAGCAGAUGGCUAAACUAAUCUGGAAUGAUGAAUAUAUGCAACCCAAGGCUUCUGUAACUUUAGCAAGUAUGUGGCU